UUUCUUCUUCUGUUCUAUGCGGGGAAAAACAAGAAGAAGCAGAGAACACGGGAGAGAGAGAGAGCGAGAGAGAAAGAGAGGUAUGCAUGUGCUAGAGAAAGGGAAAUGGAGAAUUCGACUGAGAGUCGGGGUGGAGUUUACCCGAAGGGAGGGAGUAUAUCAAAGCCAUGCAUCUCGGGGACUUCAACUUGGUGAUUUAUUUUUGGGAGUUAUCGAUAGCUUCCGAUUUCGCGGAGGAAUCACUUUUUGAUAUCGGGAAUCAGCUUGUAGGACUAGGUAGGAACCUUAGUUAUUUAAUAGAUAUCCUUUCUGUAUAAAAUGGACUUGAGAAUGUCACGACCUGAAAUUUUUGUCUAGUUGGUUUAGCAAUGUAGUUUUACUAGAAUCGUACUUAUAUAAAUAUAUAUGCUAGAGCAUUUAUAGUAGUUGUAUGUUUUUGAGAGUUAUGGAAAGCAGAUUUUAUAUGAAUAGUUACGUGAUAAUGGAUGUCGAAGAAAUAUAGGGAAAGUUCAGCUGAAAUUUCGAGUCGUGACAAUGUGAUCGUGAUGUUAAGUUCCUAAGUCACUUUUGGCGUGUUUUGUGGGGUAAAUUGGGAACAAAGCUAUUGUUUUCUACCACUUGCCACCCACAAACUGAUGGGCAAACAGAGGUUGUAAAUCGAACCUUAGGUACUUUGCUGCGACCUGUUAUUAAAAGGAACUUGAAAAGUUAGGAAGACUACAUUCCAUUCAUUGAGUUUGCAUAUAAUCGGGCCAUGCAUUCUUCUACUAAGUUUUCUCCCUUUGAGGUUGUUUAUGACUUUAAUCCACUAACCCCAUUGGAUUUAACUCCAUUGCCUAUUGGUGAGAUUGUUAGCCUUGAUGGAAAGCGUAAGGCAGAAUUUGUGAAGAAGAUCCAUGAAGAAGCAAGGAACCACAUUUUGCACAAGAACAAGCAAGCUGCCACUCGAGCCAACAAGGGAAGAAAGCAUGUCACUUUCGAACCGGGAGAUUGGGUUUGGGUUCAUUUCAAGAAGGAGAGGUUUCCAAGCCAAAGGAAAUCAAAAUUCGAGGACGAAUCCUUUUGAAGAAGGGGAGAAUGAUAGGGUUGAGCCGGACUCCGAACAUGAGGACAAGUUGCAUAUUUCUACCGGACCGGUCACCAGAGCACGUGCCAAGAAAUUGGAGCAAGCCUUGCAGAACUUAUGGACGCAUAUUCGGGAAGAGGCACGCAGUUCGAAAGACGAACAAGUUGACUCGGGGCUGAUUUUGGUCAUCAAGAGUGCUGGACCUCAUCAGUACACAUCGGGGCAUUAAAUGAUGACCACAACUACCUCAAAUCUGGAUGGAUAUGCAUUCUAGAAGAUGACCACCAAAUCUGGUUGGAAUAUGCCUUCUAUCAGGUUGGAAUAUGCCUUCUAGAAGAUGGCCACCAAAUCUGGUUGGAAUAUGCCUUCUAUCAGGUUGGAAUAUGCCUUUUAGAAUAUGUUUGCUUUUCUUAGUUGUCUUUAGAUUACAAGAGCAUUAUAAGAUCUUCUCUAGGAUAUUUUUUUUGAGAACUUUUCUGCCAUUUUCUAUUUUGUGUGAGAGAUAUUCUCCAAAUUGUUCUUGUUGAACUUAUGCUUCAAAGGUUGCAAGUCGAUUACUUGUAGUUCUU